rnacentral:rRNA from 1 species
GACGAACGCUGGCGGCGUGCUUAACACAUGCAAGUCGAACGGAAAGGCCUGCUUUCCCUUGUGGAUUGCGGGUACUCGAGUGGCGAACGGGUGAGUAACACGUGAGUGAUCUGCCCCCAACUUGGGUAUAAGCCUGGGAAACUGGGUCUAAUUCCCGAUAGGACUGCAGGGUGGUGCCUGUGGUGGAAAACGAUUUUCUAGUGGUUGGGGAUGAGCUCGCGGCCUAUCAGCUUGGUGGUGGGGUAAUGGCCUACCAAGGCGGCGACGGGUAGCCGGCCUGGGAGGGUGGACGGCCACAUUGGGACUGAGAUACGGCCCAGACUCCUACGGGAGGCAGCAGUGGGGAAUAUUGCACAAUGGGCGGAAGCCUGAUGCAGCGACGCCGCGUGGGGGAUGACGGCCUUCGGGUUGUAAACUCCUUUCGACCGCGAGGAAGCCACCUGGUUGGAAGGGUGGUGACGGUAGUGGUAGAAGAAGCACCGGCUAACUACGUG